rnacentral:rRNA from 1 species
AUUGAACGCUGGCGGCAGACCUAACACAUGCAAGUCGAACGAGUGGCGGACGGGUGAGUAAUGUCUGGGAAACUGCCCGAUGGAGGGGGAUAACUACUGGAAACGGUAGCUAAUACCGCAUAACAUGGGAUGUGCCCAGAUGGGAUUAGCGAGUAGGUGGGGUAAGGGCUCACCUAGGCGACGAUCCCUAGCUGGUCUGAGAGGAUGACCGGCCACACUGGAACUGAGACACGGUCCAGACUCCUACGGGAGGAAGCAGUGGGGAAUAUUGCACAAUGGGCGCAAGCCUGAUGCAGCCAUGCCGCGUGUAUGAAGAAGGCCUUCGGGUUGUAAAGUACUUUCAGCGAGGAGGCGUUACUCGCAGAAGAAGCACCGGCUAACUCCGUGCCAGCAGCCGCGGUAAUUC